rnacentral:rRNA from 1 species
AUUGAACGCUGGCGGCAGGCCUAACACAUGCAAGUCGAACGAGUGGCGGACAGGUGAGUAAUGCCUGGGAACCUGCCUGAUGGAGGGGGAUAACUACUGGAAACGGUAGCUAAUACCGCAUACCAUCGGUUGUGCACAGAGGGGAUUUGCUAGUAGGUGGGGUAACGGGACACCUAGGCGACGAUCCCUAGCUGGUCAGAGAGGAUGACCUGCCACACUGGAACUGAGAAACGGUCCAGACUCCUACGGGAGGCAGCAGUGGGGAAUAUUGCACCAUGGGCGACAGCCUGAUGCAGCCAUGCCGCGUGUAUGAAGGAGGCCUUCGAGUUGGAAAGUACUUUAAGCGGUGAGGCGUGACCUGCAGAAGAAGCACCGGCUAACGCCGUGCCAGCCGCCGCGGUAAUG